AUAAAAAUUAUAUUUUAAUACUCAAUCCAGACUAAAAACAUCAUAAGGAUAAUCAUACGGCCACGAGAAGAAAUGUUACCAUCGAUCCAGCGGGGAGAAAUGUGCCAAGCAUUCAACCGGCUAAAAGUGCAUAUCGAAGCAUCUUGAAUUUUUUGAUUUGGCCUCACAUAACAUCGUUCUUGAGUUGCAUCUUAUCUAUCAGUCGUCUCAGUGGUCCAAUGGACUAGUCAAGCAACUCGCUUAANN
rnacentral:lncRNA from 1 species